rnacentral:rRNA from 1 species
UGGGGAAUCUUCCGCAAUGGGCGCAAGCCUGACGGAGCAACGCCGCGUGAGUGAAGAAGGUCUUCGGAUCGUAAAGCUCUGUUGAUGGGGACGAACGUGCCUAAUGCGAAUAGUAUUAGGUAAUGACGGUACCCAUCGAGGAAGCCACGGCUAACUACGUGCCAGCAGCCGCGGUAAUACGUAGGUGGCGAGCGUUGUCCGGAAUCAUUGGGCGUAAAGGGAGCGCAGGCGGGCAUGUAAGUCUUUCUUAAAAGUGCGGGGCUCAACGCCGUGAUGGGAAAGAAACUAUGUGUCUUGAGUACAGGAGAGGAAAGCGGAAUUCCCAGUGUAGCGGUGAAAUGCGUAGAUAUUGGGAGGAACACCAGUGGCGAAGGCGGCUUUCUGGACUGCAACUGACGCUGAGGCUCGAAAGCCAGGGGAGCGAACGGG